UGUGCUUAAAGAUUCCUUUUUUGAAAGAAGCAAUAGUCUCUUUCUUUAAUGUGGGAAAGGGUUUGUGAAGACCACACCAUACCUAUGUGUCAGCAGGAUAUUUGUUUUUGGCAAUUAUUGCAAAAUGACAAUUUAUUCCUUUUCGAUGGUUCAGAUCGGGUAUUUAAAAUUGGUGAGUUCGUAACAGCUCGAAGAGAAUUCAACUGAGGGUGACUUGUACGUGAAUGAUGGAUUUUGGGAACCUUUGAUCUAGGACAUGCCAAAAGAGGCCUGAUAAUUUAUAUUCCGAAUCAUUCAUCAGUAAGUUUAGAGGGCCUAAGUGAAGAAGGUGUUGCUUGGCACAGAAAUACCGACCAAAAGAUAUGCCGGUCUGACAAAUUUAAAGCGUAUAUGUACCAACUAUGUUGAAGGAUAUUGGUCAUGCCUUAGGCAAUACCUACGUUGCUUAAGGAUAACACAGUCUCCCAUGAUGUCACAAUAUAUCGACCAGCUUAUAUGGAGAGAUUUAUAUAUAUGGGAGAACAGCACUUGAUGGAUUUUGCAAUUUAUUGCAACAAAUCGGUAACCGAUAUAAUUUUGAAAUAUAAAAUGUUUUUUAUUUAAUAUUUA